ensembl:lincRNA 4933404I11Rik RIKEN cDNA 4933404I11 gene
AUUAGAAUCAGAGCAGAAAUAAAUAAGGGAAGUAUGGGUGGGCACAGGCAGUACUCACCAUACAUGCUCAGAAGAACCUAAUGACUUACUAAGCUGAAACCUUGUCUGUGAGUCCUGCAUUCCACCUUUGCACCAACAUCAGCAGGAUUUGCCUCUGUCUCAUGAUUCAUAUCUAGAGGCUUCCCAACAGUGAAGCUUUUGGGGCUCCUAGGAAAAAGAUGAGCUAGAGAGGUCGACCCAGGAUUGCUAAGUAUUAAAUCAAGACGGGAAAGCAGGUGCUUGCAAGUCUAGAGAUCUGUGCAAGCUUCCAGGAGCACAGCCAAGGCUGUCACAUACCUCAGGGAGCUGCCAAGAGUUGGAGUCCCAGCCCCUGCCUCAGUUGGCAGUUUGGGAGCUGCCGCAAGUGCCCCAGAAGAGACCCUAUAAGUGGUUUUUUUUUGUGUGUCUUCUUGCUCACAAGUGGGUAAUUUGGUCUCCUUUCACAACUCAGGUUUGCUUUUGUUUUUUAAUUUGAAAUAACACCAUCCAGUUGGUGGAGCCUACAGGGAGAACUCUUUUAUUACUUUUUCUAAAUAUAAUGUGAAAAAAACUGCUGACCCAGAGCUCUGCAACAGGAACAAAUUGUGCAGGGUCUUUUAAAGAAGAGGCUAGAUGGCCAUCUGAGGUUGAAGAAAGGGGGCCCUCCAGCAUGUGUUUUCUGGAUAAGCUUAAAGCCUCUCAGCUCUGCUUUCUUCCUGAUACAACCAUCAUGUCAGAGGAAGAAUGGGCAUUGUUCCAUGACCUGUUUGAACUCCAUAAUGCUGAUUGUAAAGAAGAGCAUCUAGGCUCACAUUCAAGGCUCUUCUUCAAGCACCAUCUGAGUCCCCGCUGCAUCAGUUAAGGACACUGCAAGCACGGGUUUUGUAUGUGCUGUCUCAAGAGGUUGCUGCCCUUCCACAUUGUUUGCUGGAGGAAUGGAAAAAUGAGUUUCUUUUUUGCACACACACCUAGAAUCUAGCAGUGAAAGGCACAUGGUGCGUCCUCAGUCAUCGAUAAUGUGUAUCUGAGUCUCAACGUCUUAAAUAGAAAUGAUAAUAUAUGUAGAGCCUUUAAGCAUGCUGUAAGAAUACCAGAUUAUGUAUAUAAAACAUUCAUCACAUGGCUUGGCAAAUUGUAGGCGAUUAAUUAAUGGUGUCUAUGAUAAUGUGCCUCAGAAAUAAAUAGUUGC